GAUGAACGCUGGCGGCGUGCCUAAUACAUGCAAGUCGAGCGGAAGGACGAGAAGCUUGCUUCUCUGAUGGUAGAGGCGGACGGAAGAGGAACACGAGGAUAACCUAACUAUAAGACUGGGAUAACUUCGGGAAACCGGAGCUAAUAACGGGUAAUAUUUUGAACGGGAUGGUUGAAAAGUGAAAGACGGUGUGGAUGGAACUUAGAGCUGGAUCCGCGCUGCAUUAGCAAGUUGGUAAGGUAACGGCUUACCAUGGCAACGAUGCCUAGCCGACCUGAGAGGGUGAACCCCCACACUGGAACUGAGACACGGUCCUGACUCCUACGGGAGGCAGCAGUAGCGACUCUUCCGCAAUGGGCGAAAGCCUGACCGAGCAACGCCGCGUUAGUGCUGAAGGUCUUCGUGUCGUAAAACUCUGUUAUUAGUGAAGACCAUAUGUGUAAGUAACUGUGCUCUUCUUGACGGUACCUAAUCAGGAAGCCACGGCUAACUACGUG
rnacentral:rRNA from 1 species